AUGGGCGCUGGCGGUGGACGAG
rnacentral:misc_RNA from 1 species